rnacentral:rRNA from 1 species
UACGGGGGGGGCAAGCGUUGUUCGGAAUUACUGGGCGUAAAGGGCGCGUAGGCGGCCCUCUAAGUCAGACGUGAAAUCCCUCGGCUCAACCGGGGAACUGCGUCUGAUACUGGAGGGCUUGAAUCCGGGAGAGGGAUGUGGAAUUCCAGGUGUAGCGGUGAAAUGCGUAGAUAUCUGGAGGAACACCGGUGGCGAAGGCGGCGUCCUGGACCAACACUGACACUGAGGAGCGAAAGCCAGGGGAGCAAACGGG